rnacentral:lncRNA from 1 species
UUAGGGCGUGUAAAAUAUAAUACAGACUCCAGUACUAAAGUAUAUCUGUCCAAGGUAACUAGAAAUACAAGUUAUGUCAAUAACAUGCAUCGGGCCAGCACUCCUUUUCAAAUUGUUGUAGCGUACCGACCGCUGGUCAACCUAAAUAGAAAGAUUGUUUUUGUGACGUCAUAGUCGAUGUGAAGAGUUAAUAAUAUAAUAUUGUUUAGUCAUCGUUUUUAUGUAAUUUGUUAUAAAUUACUAUUAUAUUAAAUUCAUAUACAAAUUCUUGGAUAAAUCAGGUUAAUAAAGUGAAUGUAUGUGGAACUCUUUAUAUCGAAACACAAAUUCAACAUUUUUAGAGAUGGAGUCAAAAAGCUUGUUAAGUUUGGUUGUAUCUUUGCAUUUUGCUGUCGUUUAUGAAUUACUAAAGUAAUCCAUGACUUAACUAUAAAUUAUAAUAUAUAAAUAUGUACUAGUUUUUGUCUUUAUAAAUAUUUGCUUCAAUGACCCUCAAUAACAAUUAAAAGUAAUCUUUAUUUGAUUUUUUUUUAGAGUGAUGGGAGUAAUCGACAUUGCUUGGAAUUACCCAUUUUAUUAACCACACACUCAAAAAGUCACCCUCAGACCAAUACACAUCCGAUAAAAACUGGCUGCAUUAAUAUAGGUUAAUGCAGUAAAAUAUAAUAUUGCGAGAUGGUCAAAAUUGACUCGUGGGCCGAUAUAGCCCGCGGGUGAGUGGUUGACAACCUCUGGAUUAAUGAAUAUUUCUAAAUGCAUGAGGGAGGGACCACUAUUAAAUAUAAAUUUGAAUGGUCAAAUAUAGAUUUUCAAUCUAUUACCUACUAAUUCGUUUGGCAUAUCCCUCGAGAUUUAAGCUUAAACAUAAUCCCCUUUCCUCUAGCACUUGCAGUAUUUCAGUACUUAAGUAUUAUCUUAGUAUCUAUCAUUAUUUUCUUUGUUUCAAUAGAAGUUACAUCUUCCUCAAGACAGCAGACCUAUGUUAAUUUACUUAAACUAAUGAAUGAGGGAUAUUAACUUUAGAAAAUUGUGCUAGCUAGCCAGACAAUAUAGUUAUCUAAAGCUUUUGCUUUACAAAGAGUGUGAGACUCAUGGUUGGAGCAAAAAACUAUACCAAAUCAACUAAAAGGUGUUACACAUCGGAAAUGCUCUACUCUUUAUACUGUGAUGAAUAUAAUCACAGUUAUUUGUUAUUUUUGAAAUCUGUAUGAAUGAUGUCAAAAGAGUCAACAAGAUUUUUGUGUUCAAUAAUAGUAAUCCUACCAAAUUGCUUGAAGACUCGACUCUUUUGGUUGAAAAUAUGGUAGAGUUAUACUUCUUACCAAUCAGCAUAGGGUUGACCUUUUCAACUGUAAUCAGGAAGAAUACCUUGUUUCUAUGUAAAUUGUACUUAGGAUAUGAAGCUGAAAAUUUCCUCUCUAUGAUGACCCAUCACUUUUUGGAGGAUCGAGAUAAGAACCUCACUGAUUGAUGUUCUCAAUUUUUGAUGAAGCUUAUUAAAGAACUUAGAAAUAGUCUUCCCAACAAUGUGAAAGUAUGAAAAACAACGUGAAUGUUUAGUGUUGGAAACACUUUCCGAUUUUAGAAGUACAUCUAGCUGAUUUUGCUAAAAGCCAACUGGCAACACUGGUGGCACAUCUGACAUCACUAGUUUGAUGUCAUAAACAGUUUGCAACCUAAAAUAAAUAAAACUUUUGGACGUGAUUAUGGGAUCAAUUUAGAGGAACAAAGGGGAAUUCUUCUUUCAGUGAUAAAAUGUGGUAGGAAAAAUGAAACAAAUGAAAAGCAAUCAUGACGAAGAAAUUAUUCUAUCCAAGUCAUCUACCCUAAAGCCUUACCAAAAAGGCAUAAUUAUUUCAACAAAAUCGAUGAUGGCGAUUUAUCAAGAUCUAUAAAAUUAAAUUCAGCUUCCCUGUGUCUCGCUUAAAUGAAAACUUUUUCCCCAGAAUUAUAUAUAUUGGACGAUUUCGUAUUAUUGUAAAAGAUUAUUGUUGAAAAUGCACCAGUUAAUUUUCAAAAUCGGGAUCACUCUCACUCCAUGAUUCAUUUUAAAUUACAAAACCUUUUGAUAUGAAGAAUUGUUGUGGGUUGAAGAUUAUAAUAUAAAAAGUCCUUAAAAAGACUAAGUCUAUUGGUCCGUUCCAAAAUUAUAUUUACAAAAUCUCGAUAGAUGUAGUAAGCUUCCUUAAAUUAUAAUAGAUAAAUACUACUUAGUACUUACUAGAAGCCGAAGGGGAAUAAGAAAGUUAUGAACUGCCGGGAAAUACAUUUAAUUCAUAGUAAUUUGGAUGGAUCUUUCGUACGAAGGAUUCGGAUAUAUUCAUUCUUAUCCAUCCAUCCUUUCCGUUCCUAGGAAUUCAUAUUUUUUCUAUUUGGAUAUCCAAUACGUUUUCUGAUCUUCUCUUCAACUUCAUGUUAGAGGGAUCUCACCUUUUAGUCUUUGUGCCUCACUCGGCGGAUAUCAUCUCCUUUAAUGGAAGAAUCCUGCAUUGUGAAAAUGCCAAAUGUACUUCACAUCAAGGUUUAUGAUAGUCAUGGUGACUUCUCAAAUCGUGAAUCAUUGCCUCUAUGCUCAAGAAUACAUAAAUUCCUCCAGAUAUUUUACGAGAUCAUCGUAUACUUCUACAUAUAAGAACAUGGAGUUCCCAAAAACGACAGAUAAUUGACUGAAAGAUCAAGUAAGGAACAGGGAGAAUUCUCAUUCUCCCUCCAAUACUCCUUAAUUGAAGUUUUUGAGUCCUUUUCUCCUUAAGUCAAAUCUCCCUCGUCUCUUACUCUAAGAAAAGUAUUUCAUUGAUAAGUGUCCUUGAUGCAUAUAACUCUAUACUUGAGAGUCCUUUCGUGAUUGGAAAACAAGUGGAAGAUUAUUCUAGACUUGAAAGAUAAUGUGCCUCUCUUUUCUCGAUAGUUUUGUCUCCAAAGCAUAUUUCUGCCGUUGCAAUUUCCAAACUAAUUGACUCAGGAAUCCUCUUCUAAACAGCUAAAUUGCUUGUUAGCAUAUUGGAAUAUUAUUAUCCCGAAAAUUUUUGAUAUUUACAAAAAUAAAUAAAUUACGAAAUGAGC